UCCCUGAUGGUCCAGUGGUUAAAACUCUUCUCUCCCAAUGCAGGGGGCACGGGUUCAAUCCCUGGUCGGGGAA
rnacentral:tRNA from 1 species